rnacentral:rRNA from 1 species
GAUGAACGCUGGCGGCGUGCCUAAUACAUGCAAGUCGAGCGAACAGAUGAGGAGCUUGCUCCUCUGACGUUAGCGGCGGACGGGUGAGUAACACGUGGAUAACCUACCUAUAAGACUGGGAUAACUUCGGGAAACCGGAGCUAAUACCGGAUAAUAUAUUGAACCGCAUGGUUCAAUAGUGAAAGACGGUUUUGCUGUCACUUAUAGAUGGAUCCGCGCCGGAUUAGCUAGUUGGUAAGGUAACGGCUUACCAAGGCAACGAUGCGUAGCCGACCUGAGAGGGUGAUCGGCCACACUGGAACUGAGACACGGUCCAGACUCCUACGGGAGGCAGCAGUGGGGAAUCUUCCGCAAUGGGCGAAAGCCUGACGGAGCAACGCCGCGUGAGUGAUGAAGGUCUUCGGAUCGUAAAACUCUGUUAUUAGGGAAGAACAAAUGUGUAAGUAACUAUGCACGUCUUGACGGUACCUAAUCAGAAAGCCACGGCUAACUACGUG